rnacentral:rRNA from 1 species
GUGGAUAUUGGACAAUGGGCGGAAGCCUGAUCCAGCAACGCCGCGUGAGGGAUGACGCCCUUCGGGUUCUAAACCUCUUUCAGUACCGACGAAGCGCCCGUUGUGGGUGGUGACGGUACGUACAGAAGAAGCACCGGCCAACUACGUGCCAGCAGCCGCGGUAAUACGUAGGGUGCGAGCGUUGUCCGGAAUUAUUGGGCGUAAAGGGCUCGUAGGCGGUUUGUCGCGUCGGGAGUGAAAACACCGGGCUUAACUCGGUGCUUGCUUUCGAUACGGGCAGACUUGAGGUAUGCAGGGGAGAACGGAAUUCCUGGUGUAGCGGUGAAAUGCGCAGAUAUCAGGAGGAACACCGGUGGCGAAGGCGGUUCUCUGGGCAUUACCUGACGCUGAGGAGCGAAAGUGUGGG